AACGAAUCCUUUAUCCUCUAUGUUCCUCCCCUCCUAAAUCCAACAUGUCAUCUUUACUUUAAACAGAGGGUCUUUAGCUUUGUAGACUCGUCGAAAUCACAAGUUAUUCAGACCAUCGUCUGAGUUAAUUCGUGGUAAAAUGAGAGCUAAGUGGAGAAAGAAGCGUAUGCGUAGGUUGAAGCGAAAACGCAGGAAGAUGCGUGCAAGGUCCAAGUAGAUGUUCCUGUGAAGCUAUGGGAUCUCCAUUAUUUG